UUCCCACAUUUUACCAAUUACGAAGGCAUUAAGGAUAACUAAUGUUACUGACUCGUUUGCCAGGUGCUUUGAGAUCUCGGAGCUAGGUUUUGUUGUUCAUUGCUGCGCUAAGAGUCAGCGUGAACCUUGGAGGCCGAAUGAACACAUUUAUCUGGAAUGCUUUGAAUCUGGGUUUAAGCAUGGUAAUGCUAGAAGGAGGUGAGUUCCACUUCAUUGUUAUUUACUUACAAGGGAGAAGAAACAUUGCAAAACCGGUCUGUUUAUUGAGAUUUCAUGUGGUUCUCUGAUCCUAUUUCCCCACCCAUCUCCCUCCCAUGGAGUGCUUUCUCCAGUCGGGCUGGAUUGGCGGGUGGCGGUGGGGUGGGAUGGGAUGGACAGUGAUGGGGCUGGCUGAGCAUCCCCAGAGCUAUGCAAGGUGAUGACAACUGGAAGAUUGCUUUCUUAUAGGUGCAUAUGUUGAGGGGAUAAGCCCCCUGAUGCUUAGCGACAGCUGAAAUGAACAUUCACCAUGGUGCAGGUACGAGGGCUGUGUAUAAAGGGAGAGGGUCAGGAGCGUGCCCUCAGCUCCCCCUGAAUUAAAUGAAGAGAUACUCCAAGCUGGGAAGCAAAAAAAAAAAAAAAAGAAAAAAAAGAGAAAAAAAGAAGUUGUGCUUGAGGUUAGUGCUGCUCUCCGCCGCAAAGCCGAUGACAUCAAUGUUGCCAUGGUGACAAAAUCUUCACUUAGGUAUGGUGAGCGCCCCGAGCCUGCGGCUGCCAAGGAAACCCGCCGAGCGCCAGGCAGCCCGCACUCAGCCCUGCCGCCUUCCUCCUCCUCCUCCUCCUCCUCGUCCUGCCCCACGCCAGCAGUGCUGCAGCCUUCUGCCUCCUGGUUAUUGCCCCGUAACCCGCUGCCCUCAGCCAGGAGCAGUCAGCAGGCAACAGGGUGAACCCGUGGGCCGGAGGGAAGGGAGCAGGGCAGGCACCCUGCCCCGUGCUCAGCCACGGCCUGGCCGAGCGUCACCAUCCCCACCAGGUCUCCUGCUCCUGGGGCUCUGCCACAGCGCGGCCGGGAGGAUCCCAAAGGCCCAUCCAACCCCGGGGGACGUUCAGAGGCUGUAGGCCAGGGCCCUGUCCUGCUAUGCCUUCAUAUCCAAGAGCAGAAGCCAAAGCCACCAAAGCAGAGGUGCUUCGUUGUGGCUCAUGGUGCCCUGCAUCACUUCAGCAUUGGCUUAAAACUGACUGCUCUGUGGGGGAAAGGAUACGAUUUACUCAGAGGCAGAUCCAGAACUGUGGUGGGGGCAAGGGCGAUCAAUGGACGGCAGAUCUCCAUAGAAAAAAGAAGGUUUUUUUAGGCCUAAAUUUAUGAGGCUAAUUAUUGAUAUCCUUUAAAAUCAGGAAUUUUACAUAGGACCAGAUCUCCACUGCAUGAUUUCUGGUCACAAGAGAUGAGCGUAGCCAAGGGGAAGUGACUCACGGCUGCCUGUGGUUGAAAUUAAUGAGAUUUUUAUCUGGAAAUAUUCCUGUGAGUGCCUUUUUCUUUGUAGUGUGAGUCAGGACAAUAGCAUGGAAAUCAUCCUCGAGGAAAACGGAGACUUCAGUGCGAUGGCUGCGGAUGCUCCGCCACGAUCAGCGCUGGGACAGCUGAGCUAUGGGUUUUGAGGCCAGAAAGCCCCAUCCUGAGCAGUCAGGGAGCAGGAAUCCCUGCGAUAACCCCAUGAGUGGCUUUAUUACAGGGAGAAAGGAGAAUAGGAGGGAAAAGGAAAUUGGAUGGAGGGGUUGGGGAUGGGACUCAUAUUGCACGUUGAGUUAUUUAUUGCAGAUAGGAAGGUGUUAACUGCAGGUUUCCCUGGCAAACUGAACUACUCCAAAAGCACUCUCAUGACGUGCGUCAUCAUCUCUGCAAGG